AUUGAACGCUGGCGGCAGGCUUAACACAUGCAAGUCGAGCGGGGUGAUGGUGCUUGCACUAUCACUUAGCGGCGGACGGGUGAGUAAUGCUUAGGAAUCUGCCUAUUAGUGGGGGACAACAUCUCGACAGGGAUGCUAAUACCGCAUACGUCCUAAGGGAGAAAGCAGGGGAUCACUUGUGACCUUGCGCUAAUAGAUGAGCCUAAGUCGGAUUAGCUAGUUGGUGGGGUAAAGGCCUACCAAGGCGACGAUCGGUAGUGGGUCUGGGAGGAUGAUCCGCCACACUGGGACUGAGACACGGCCCAGACUCCUACGGGAGGCAGCAGUGGGGAAUAUUGGACAAUGGGGGGAACCCUGAUCCAGCCAUGCCGCGUGUGUGAAGAAGGCCUUUUGGUUGUAAAGCACUUUAAGCGAGGAGGAGGCUACUAGUAUUAAUACUACUGGAUAGUGGACGUUACUCGCAGAAUAAGCACCGGCUAACUCUGUGCCAGCAGCCGCCGCCGUAA
rnacentral:rRNA from 1 species